AUACGGAGGGUGCAAGCGUUAAUCGGAAUUACUGGGCGUAAAGCGCGCGUAGGCGGAUAUUUAAGUCUCAUGUGAAAGCCCUGGGCUCAACCUGGGAACUGCAUGGGAUACUGGGUAUCUAGAAUACAGUAGAGGGUAGUGGAAUUUCAGGUGUAGCGGUGAAAUGCGUAGAGAUCUGAAGGAACAUCAGUGGCGAAGGCGACUACCUGGACUGAUAUUGACGCUGAGGUGCGAAAGCGUGGGGAGCAAACGGGAUUAGAAACCCCGGUAGUCC
rnacentral:rRNA from 1 species